GGGCAUUUGGUCUAGUGGUAUGAUUCUUGCUUCGGGAGCAAGAGGUCCCGAGUUCCAUUCUCAGAAUUCCCC
rnacentral:tRNA from 1 species